UCAAAACCUCUUUUGAGUGCAGAAGAAACAAAUUAGAGAGUGAAUUAAAUGUGAAUUUAAGGUUGUUUCUUCUGUUGCUUGGUUAAAUGUUAUAAUCAUGAUCAGAACAAUCUUUUUAACUAUAAUCACUAUUUACUGGUUACCAGUUUGUGUGGUUUGUUCUCCUGUCAUUCAGCAGUCUCCCAAACAUCUUCUACAGACAGAGGAGGAGAAAGAGGCAAAGCUUUUUUGUCAUCAUGGUGACAGCAACUAUCAGAACAUGUACUGGUAUCAACAGAAAAGCAAUGGUGGUUCUUUGGAGCUUAUUGGAAUGCUCAAUUACGGCACAGCUUCUCACGAGGAUAAAUUCAAACCUCGAUUUGCUCUCUCAGGACAUGCUACAAAAAAUGCAUCCCUGAUCAUAUCCAACAUAUCUCCUGAGGACAGCGCAGUGUAUUUCUGUGCAACAAGUAAGCACAGCCGUACAAUUCAUUAUAACCACUGACAAAAAACUGUUCACUUUGCACCUGUUUGAUUAAAAAAAAAAGUUUUCCACAAGGUUACUUGAAUAUUUAUGCCAAAACUGGUAAUAACUGUUAUUAC